rnacentral:rRNA from 1 species
GACGAACGCUGGCGGCGUGCUUAACACAUGCAAGUCGAACGGAAAGGCCCUGCUUUUGUGGGGUGCUCGAGUGGCGAACGGGUGAGUAACACGUGAGUAACCUGCCCUUGACUUUGGGAUAACUUCAGGAAACUGGGGCUAAUACCGGAUAGGGGCUCCUGCUGCAUGGUGGGGGUUGGAAAGUUUCGGCGGUUGGGGAUGGACUCGCGGCUUAUCAGCUUGUUGGUGGGGUAGUGGCUUACCAAGGCUUUGACGGGUAGCCGGCCUGAGAGGGUGACCGGCCACAUUGGGACUGAGAUACGGCCCAGACUCCUACGGGAGGCAGCAGUGGGGAAUAUUGCACAAUGGGCGGAAGCCUGAGGCAGCAACGCCGCGUGCGGGAUGACGGCCUUCGGGUUGUAAACCGCUUUCGCCUGUGACGAAGCGUGAGUGACGGUAAUGGGUAAAGAAGCACCGGCUAACUACGUG